UCUCUCUGGUUUGAUUUUGAAGGAAGGUGUUCUCCUAUCAACAAAAAGCAUCAUCAGAAAAUAAGAUCCUCUCACCUCCACUCCCUCAAGAUGGCUGAGAAGUGUCUGUACACCUGGAAGGUCAUAGCCAUAAUCUUCUAUAUCCACCACUGCCUCUUUCUCCUGCAUCCAGCCCUUUACUUCAUCCACAUCAUGGUCAUACUGGUGAACUUGACGGGCUGCACUCAGGUUCUGGAAGAAAGAAGUAAUUUAAUGGAAAUACUCRAUAGCAUUUUGUGUCUACAACACAAAAAAGGGUAACCCUAAUUUGUYAUAAUGCAGUACAAAAUGACCAAGAGGGGUAAUGAAACACCCUCUCCAUUAAGUCACCUGAAAGUGAGGUGUUAAGCUAACCUAAUUUCCCCAAGAUCUCUUGGACAAUGGAAAAAAAAACAGAUGUCUCCAAAGAGCAAUUUAUCCCCAUGUAAUGGAGGGAUAUUAUUAUCCAUCAAAAUGGAGAGCAUGAAUUGCUCUCUAAAGGUAGCUCCCUACACCACAGAAAGUGUCCUAAAAUACUCGCUUGGAAUAAAGGUCUGUAUGGCAGACAGUGAAAAUAGAAGAAAUUGAGCAAAAAUAAUGUUUUUCUGAAAUGAGAGGAUUAAAAAAAAAUGUUCUAAUACUAGUUUAUAGUCGAACUAUAUAUUGACAAUUGUGCAUUUAUUUCUGCUAACAGACAUUAAUGGACUUGAACUACUUCAUAAGCAACAUGGGUACGCAACAGUAGUGAAAAAAGGGUUGAGGAUAUCUGAUGUUUUUUCUCUUUAAAGCAAACAAAAACGUUGAGUUCUGUGUGUCACCUCUGCUUUUCCAGACACAUCUGUGACUGCAGUUUCCUGAGAGGGAGUGAGAGGGAAUGAGCUGAUUUAACACCUGACUUCUGCCUAAAGGUGGGGAGUGGCUCUUUGUCCUCUAUCCCAUUCUCUCCCAUAUGCCUUCCUUGAUUUCAAGUAGCCAACUCAGCAAAAAAAAAAAAAAAACCAAAACAGGAGACUUUUGAUCUUGUUUAGCAAACUAUUCAAUAAAUAUUUCCAUGAAGAGACUGAUUAGUGUCAGAGCCAGACUUCUGUUGCUGGUGCUAAACUGUCAGGUUAGCUUUGUUUUUCAGGAAACCAGAGUUAGCCAUGAAUUAAGGAAAACAAUUGCUCAGAGCUGAUAAAUAUCUUUCAAGCAUAAGCCUUGCCAGAAAGAAUAGGAUAAGCAGUGGCUAUAAAAGGAAAAUAAUCUAGAAAAAAAUGAACAAAAUGUACUCAUUGCCUCUGUAAACCUUAAACAUGAGCAAUGCACUGGUUUGGAAAAGAAAGAAGGACAUGGGAGAUGGCACGGGAAUCAAUGCUGCAGUUUUUCAUGUGUUUCCCACCUCUGUCCUUGUCUGAAUGGCAUGGCAUAAUUUCUCCCACGUUUCAUUGAUUUGCUUAGUUCUCUUCUGGAUAAUGUCCAUCUUGCUGUGGCCUUCCUUAUCCAGUUUAGAUGCUAACUCAUUGAAGGAGAUGACUUUGGAAUGUCCCAGAGGUUUUGUCUCAUUUACAAAAUCUUGAAACUUUUUCUCCAGCACCUGCAGAAUAAAUGGGAACACAAACUUAGAUAUAAGAGUUUCUGCCUCCCUCUAGAGAGACAGAAGGAGACCUCUAGAGAGAGACAGAAAGAAUCACUUUCUCUGCUGUGUAUAACAAAAAAGCUUUUAUUUUCUGUUACCUCAACAUCAUCUAAUUCCUGCCCAUAGUCGUCGGACUCUGCCACAGACAGUUUACUGGAAAGCCAUGCAUCCACCAGCUGGAAUUCUCUUUCAAACUGAUAGAACUGGAAUUGUUCUAGCAGGCGUUUUCUCUGGGUGUCAGACUUCUGUAGGAGAGACUGAUAGUCUGCUAGGAUCCCCUGGAGCUUUGAAAGUAUGACUGAACUGCAAAGAAUAAGAAACAGAAAGUAUGUCUUUGUUUAACUGUUCUUUUUGAACACUGUGUUUUCUGACAUGUUGAAUUUUCAAUACCUUUAAAAUACAGAGCAAUCCAGAUAUCAUCAUGGAGUGAGUUAUGCUGUGCCAUUGAAGCCAGCUAGCGCAGGAAAUUGAAGCAUAUCAUACAAAUGACUGCUCUUUCCACUUCCUCCUCCCCAGAUAUAAAAACAAACUUCCAAUGAAAAACAGUGAACUGUCAGGAAUGUUCAUUUCCUUUCCCAAGCACUGUGGUUUUUGAGCAUUUGUGGUAAAUUAGAACUAGAUGAGCGUUCUUGGGARUAGACAAUGGACAAAGAAGCUGACCUGCAUUAAUUGGCCUGUUGCUAAAAAAAACCAACCCUCUCAUAAAAAUAUUAAAACAAUAAUCAGGCUUUUGGGGAGCUCAGUGUGUGUGAUGAUCAUGAAGGAGGGAUGGACUUUACCUGAAGUCUUAUUUCUGAAAGAGCCAUCAGACAUGGGUGAACUAUUUACAUUCUCUGGACAUUUCUGUUAGACCUGGAGGAGAAACCUGUUUUUAUUUUCCUACCUCUCUGGACUGCCUUUGUUUAUUAAGCUGGCACCUGUCUCCUGUACUUUCUCRAUCCGGGACCCGAAACUGUCCAUGUCCAGUUUGGUUGCUUCAAGUUUACGAAGUAAAACUUGUGUGGAUUCUUCAUUCUUCCCAUAAUCAGAGGUCUCCAGAAUGAAACUCCUYUCUGCCAGCCAUGCCUCCACCUCCAGCAGCUGUAUAAAAUACAGGGAUGAGCCUUAACACAGCUUCAUUUAGGUCAAGGUAAAGUAAAUGGAAAGCAGUGGUGCACUGAUACAUCAGUGAAAACAGAGAACAYCUUAGGUGUGUUCCUGCUAUGCAAUCUAACAGACAGUUCCAAAAAAAUGGACCCAGAAUCCAGUAAUUGCAGUUACACAUAAAUCACUGUGAUUAGUUGGGAAGAUAAUUGUUAUUUCUCCAUUUUAACAGACAUGAAAAUUCAGGGCAGUGAGAAUUCUGCUCCUUUCUCAACACUUACAUCCAUUAAGCAGUAUAGGGGUCAGUUGUUUUAAGAAAAGAAAGGCCAAAAUAAAUCUUUCAGAAACCAUCUUUACCUCAUUUAGGAACAGAUGGGCCUCAUAGGACUGCACAAGCCUGUGUCUCCUUUCUUGAGCCUCUGCCUUCAAGGUCUCUACRGAAGUCUCAAGCUCCUUCAGAUGCUCCAUAAUCUUGCGAGAGGCUGGGUGGCCUCCCCUCACCAAUUUCUGUCCCGUACUGAGCACUGCUUUGGUCAAAGCAUCCCGACUGUUUAUCUCAUUCUCCAGAUUCUGGAAAGAGUAAAGAGAAAAAUGAUAGACCAGAAAUUAAAGUUAUGGAAUUUUUAUUCCAGAAAAUGUAGGCCUGUAAUUCCAUUAUAAAUUUGCUUUCUGUUCACGAAAGUGGGUCGGAGGUAYGAAGUCUGAAUGCAUGCUUGAAGUGGAGUGGAGGAGUUUUUUGGGGUGAAGGAGUGAUCACAGAAAUCAGAUUUAGUCAUGAAGUUUGAAUUUUGAUGUGUAUCCACCUCAGAGUGUGGAGCGAAGAGGAUCAAAUCAUAAACCUCUAAUUUGUAGAUUCCACUGAAAUAUAGCCACUUCCAUUCCMUUAUGUGGCAUUUCUUGAAUUAAAACAUGUCUAGAGAAGAAUGA